rnacentral:rRNA from 1 species
GAUAAACGCUGGCGGCGUGCCUAAAACAUGCAAGUCGAACGGGCCUGUGUCUUCGGACACAGGGUUAGUGGCGGACGGCUGAGUAACACGUGGGUGACCUGCCCUCGAGCGGGGGAUAACUGCCCGGAAAGGGUGGGCUAAUACCGCAGAUGUCGUGUGGUUACGAGUCAGACGACUGAACCGAUCCAGGGUUCGGGGAGGGCCCGCGGCCGAUUAGCUAGC